rnacentral:rRNA from 1 species
UAGGGAAUCUUCCGCAAUGGACGCAAGUCUGACGGAGCAACGCCGCGUGAGUGAAGAAGGAUUUCGGUUCGUAAAACUCUGUUGUUAGAGAAGAACAGCGCAUAGAGUAACUGUUAUGCGUGUGACGGUAUCUAACCAGAAAGCCACGGCUAACUACGUGCCAGCAGCCGCGGUAAUACGUAUGGGGCAAGCGUUAUCCGGAUUUACUGGGUGUAAAGGGAGCGUAGGCGGCAGUACAAGUCGGGAGUGAAAACUCGGGGCUCAACCCCGAGACUGCUCUCGAAACUGUACAGCUAGAGUGCAGGAAGGGCAGGCGGAAUUCCUGGUGUAGCGGUGAAAUGCGUAGAUAUCAGGAGGAACACCGGUGGCGAAGGCGGCUCUCUGGUCUGUAACUGACGCUGAGGCUCGAAAGCGUGGGGAGCGAACAGG